GUUAAUAUUUCAUCCGGUAAAAUGUUUUGCCGAAAUUGCAUAGGAGUUUUUUCAAUGGUACACUGGAAGUUUUCUAAUUUCACCAAGAGCAUUUUCGUACACCUUGAGUGUAGGUGUAACACAAGAGAGGUUUUGUUUUUUUGGUUUUUCUUAAUUCGUUCGUAAAGAUUGCACUUCGUAGAUAUUGUCCUAUGAUAGCUUAAUUAUUUCUGAAUCCAGGGAUAAAAAAACCCUAAAAUUUUGCACGCAGGAGGUUUUUUCGCGUUCGACGACUAAUUGUCGAUAAAUGAUCGUGAGAAAAGUCGCAUAAGGUAUCCGAAGGCCUAAUAAUAGUUUUUGUCCGUGUCACGGUUGUGACGUACCUAAAAUAAUAUUUGUCUACAAACAAUAUAGCGAAAUUAAUAGCGGUGUGUUCAAUUUGUUUUUUCAAUAAUACAUUCUGAAAAAGUUAAUACUAUCCAAAAUGAAUGUUUUAACUUAUACUGCACACCCUAUGUAAAAUACUGUUUUCUAUGGGGUUCUCUGUUCCCCUCGAUUUUGACGAUUUUUUCGCGUACCACUUUUUACCAAGGUACAUAUAUAUAUAUAUACAUAUGUAUAUACACAUACAACCUACAUUUUAAUUCUAGGAAAAAUUCAAAUCGAAAAAUUAUAUUACGAUGGUCGAUACGCUUGCGUUUCCUGAGGAGAAAAAAAAAGUAAAGGAAAACUUAAUUUUGCAAGACGAUGCCGGAAAUUAUGCGGCCCCGGUGUCAUUGAGGUUAUUGAUAGCUUCGAGCUAUAGAACGACAUUAAAGGAGGUUUUUUUUUUAUUUUUAUUUUUUUAUUUUACACUUAUCUGUCACCGUUAUACGUCCAAAAUAAAAUUGAACGUGGAGGCGGGAAAGCGAGAAAAUGGAAUCGGACACUAUCUGGUAUCCGAGAUUUUCACUCAAUUAGAUAGUAUAUGGAAUCACUAUACUACUACAACUUCUACAACAUUUUUCAUUGUGAACCGAAAAAUGUAUAAAAUGUGCGAGUGUUUGUGUAUACUUCGGUAUUCCUGUUCAAUUGGAAAUUGGGUCCGAUCUUGUGAAACGUCGACACAUGUGCUGAUGCAAUACAACAUUGUAGCCCGUCUGAAUUUCAAUUCGAUUCUUUUUUUUUUUUUUUUUUACGUGAGAUUUCAUUCUUACCCAUAUCCACGACGUGACGUGACGUGAACCCGGCUUUAAUUUCUUUUCGGUUUUGUUUUACGAUGAUGAAUACAAAGAAAAACGGAAAAAAAAUAAUUUUAUUGUUAUACGAUAUUUUAUUUACAAGAAAUUGCAAUUACCUAAAUACACAUUAAUGUGUGUAUAUUAUUUAGGAGUAACGGUUUUGCAACUUUUACCGCCGCUUUUUGUAUACUUCCAUUAUUUUGUAAUUAUGAUCAACAAUUUAAGUAGUAAGGUACAUCCUUUCAGAUUCC